GUGCUUGCUUGGGCAGCACAUGGACUAAAAUUGGAAUGCUACAAAGACUAGCAUGCCUCUGCCCAAGGAUGACAAGCAAAUUCGUGGAGCUUUCCGUAUUUAA